AUGGCCGACGCGGGUCAAAGUGUAGUAUCUAUUCUUAUCAGCUUAAUAUCUGAUGCGGAUUGUAUUUGGACCCAAGAUAUUGAACUUGUUUUUGCAAGUUGGUGGCGUGCUUGAAGCCUCCUUCACCUUCUACGAAGGUCGGCCCGGUAUUGCAAUAUCUUUGGGAUUUUUGGUCUACGGAAA